CGGGUUGAACCGAAAGCUCCGCGCCCGCUGAGUGCGGUUUGAGUUUUGUGGUGCCGCGCAGCCGUAGGAUUUUGGCUUAGUAACUGCAAUGUGAGGGCGCGUCGGUAGGCACUUCAGGGCUGUUUUUAUAUGUGGCAUAUGAAGAUGAUGGAGAGUGUCCACACUUCAGGAACCAGACUGCUUCCAUGUGCAGCCAAAUGGCACCAAGCUCCAUGAGGACAGAAGCUCGUUUGUGUGGGACCUUGCCGUCUGUAUCCCUUCGUCCGGCUGUUGGUUCAUAUUCUUUAUCAUAACCUUCAGUAAAGUGGUAAACGUGA